CAUUCCCCGAGCAUCUGUUCCAGACGUGAUGCCAAGGUUUUGUGUAUACAAGCUGAGGAAAUCCCAUCUUAGAGGCACUCAAGACGCAAGAGCUAGAUACAAGAGCAAUUCUUCAAAAACCAUCUCCUUGCUGAAGGAUGGAUGUAAUUUCAACGAGGCCCAUGCAGAUAUAGCAAAUCAGUAUUUGGAAGUCUUGCAUAUUUCUAUGAACAAUUCGUUAGUUUAGGCUUUUCACUUGUGUUUUUUAUGUUCUGUUUUCCCCAUGCAUCCAAAAAGGGGGAAAAACCAAAAUUGAUACCUAUAAGCUUUUCAUUAUGGCUUAAUAUAUCUAUAAUACUAGUAUGACACAAUCUGUACAAGAAUUCCUCGA